UACGAAGGGGGCUAGCGUUGCUCGGAAUCACUGGGCGUAAAGGGUGCGUAGGCGGGUCUUUAAGUCAGGGGUGAAAUCCUGGAGCUCAACUCCAGAACUGCCUUUGAUACUGAAGAUCUUGAGUUCGGGAGAGGUGAGUGGAACUGCGAGUGUAGAGGUGAAAUUCGUAGAUAUUCGCAAGAACACCAGUGGCGAAGGCGGCUCACUGGCUCGUUUCUGACGCUCAGGCACGACAGCGUGGGGAUCAAACAGG
rnacentral:rRNA from 1 species